ACUGCCAUUGAUACUGAUAGCCUUGAGUUUGGUUAAGGUAGGCGGAAUGUGUAAUGUAGCGGUGAAAUGCUUAGAUAUUACACAGAACACCAAUUGCGUAGGCAGCUUACUGAGCCGACACUGACGCUGAGGCACGAAAGCGUGGGGAUCGAACAGGAUUAGAUACCCUGGUAGUCCACGCCGUAAACGAUGAUUACUCGCUGUUGGCGAUACACUGUCAGCGGCUAAGCAAAAGCAAUAAGUAAUCCACCUGGGGAGUACGGCCGCAAGGUUGAAACUCAAAGGAAUUGACGGGGGCCCGCACAAGCGGAGGAACAUGUGGUUUAAUUCGAUGAUACGCGAGGAACCUUACCUGGGCUUAAAUGUAGAGUGCAUUUUCUAGAGAUAGGAAUUCCCUUCGGGGCUUUCUGCAAGGUGCUGCAUGGUUGUCGUCAGCUCGUGCCGUGAGGUGUCGGGUUAAGUCCCAUAACGAGCGCAACCCUUAUCGUUAGUUGCCAUCUGGUAAAGCAGGGGACUCUAGCGAAACUGCCACCGUAAGGUGAGAGGAAGGUGGGGAUGACGUCAAAUCAGCACGGCCCUUUAUGUCCAGGGCUACACACGUGUUACAAUGGUCGGUACAGAGGGCAGCUACCUGGUGAACAGAUGCUAAUCUCGAAACGGUCUCAGUCGAUCGAGUCUGCACUCGA
rnacentral:rRNA from 1 species